rnacentral:lncRNA from 1 species
CAAUUUUGUCUGCAAGCUUCCUUUGAAAGAGAAGGGCAGGUCGCAUUAGUUAAACGUAUAUGACAAUGUGACAAUCUCGCAAAAUUAAUAGUGAUACAGGUGAAAACCAUAACCGUUCUUCAAAACAACAACUUCUGGUGUUGGAAACUAGAAGGGCCCGACCAACUAUCAUUUACAAUUGUACAGAGCUGACACUAAAAAAUGGAAAUGAGAAGAGAAGGGCAGGUGGCAUUAGUUAAACGUAUAUGACAAUCUUACGAAGUUAAUAGUGAUACAGGUGAAAACCACAACUGUUCUUCAAAACAAGAACUUCUGGUGUUGGAAACUAGAAGGACCAACUAUCAUACCUUGAAAGCGUCACGAAAAGGGCAUCAGAACGGGUAUUUGAUAUAAAAUCCGAUUCAAAAUGUAGUUACAUUAGACCUAUUAUAGCCUUUUUUUUUUCCCUUGAAGAUUAAUGUAACUUUGAGUAUUUAAUUUCAAAAGUGUUCUCCAAGUCAUCCAAGAAAACGCGACUUGAAGAACUUAUCUGCCAAGCUAUUCAAAACAAAUGAAUUAGCUGUAGAAAACAGAUGUGGGAAUGAGUCAUACCUAGCCUUUGGAGCUUCAUACCUUGCAUUGCCAAACAAAAUGUAACAUUAACAAGUGGUUUUCUGAUAGAACAGCAAUGCAAUCAACUGUAUAGCAGAGACAUGGUUUGAAGGAUCGAAUAUCAAUUACGCUAUUCGAAUUCCCAAUUGGAAGCAAACUGGGAAAGAAAGAACAACAAUCAUGCAAAAACAGAAGAAAGAAAGAAAGAACAGAAAUUGGGGAACAAGUAAAUAGUUGAUCAAUUAAUCAAACAAAUGCACAGAGCCAAAAGGAAAAGGAAAAUGUCAAAACUGAUUCCUCCAUCAAUUAAUCUAACAUAUGCAACAGUGUCAGAGAUUUUAGAGAGACACUCAGCAGCCCAUUACUAACACACCGUAACACAGAUAGUAAGAUAGACAAGACCUCGAUAUAAUUAGAUAUACAACCACAUAUAUAUAUAUAUAUAUAUAGGUUACAUUAAUUUUGUCAAUUUUCCGACGUGAGAUUCUUGCACCCAUUAAUUCACACAAGCUAAAAACCAGAAGCCAUUAAGCUCACAAACUCAAAUCAUAAACUGAACAAAAAACGCAAACUUUAGAAACAAGUAAAAAAAGAAAGACUUUUGGAGUGGUGGGUAAAG